rnacentral:rRNA from 1 species
CAGCAGCCGCGGUAAUACGAAGGGUGCAAGCGUUACUCGGAAUUACUGGGCGUAAAGCGUGCGUAGGUGGUGGUUUAAGUCCGUUGUGAAAGCCCUAGGCUCAACCUGGGAAUUGCAGUGGAUACUGGGUCACUAGAGUGUGGUAGAGGAUAGUGGAAUUUCCGGUGUAGCAGUGAAAUGCGUAGAGAUCGGAAGGAACAUCUGUGGCGAAGGCGACUAUCUGGGCCAACACUGACACUGAGGCACGAAAGCGUGGGGAGCAAACAGGAUUAGAUACCCCGGUAGUCCCUGUCUCUUAUAC